AGAAUCAGAAUCAGAAUCAGAAUCAGAAUGCUUUAUUUGUAAAACAUAGGUACAUAAUUAGGUCUUAGGUCUAUGAAUGGUCUGAACAAACUAUGUUUUGCCGGUUGGCAUACAAAUGUCAAAAAGGACGAGAGG